GAGGGUGGAGCUCAGGGGUAGAGCGUGUGCUUAGCAUGCACAAGGUCCUGGGUUCCAUUCCCCAACCCCCA
rnacentral:tRNA from 1 species